AUUACCGAGAAGGAGAAAAAAAGAAAAAAGUAAAGGAAGUGAAAUAGUCGGUACUCCAAAAUUUCUCGUCCAACGACAUGCACCCGUUUGCUACGUUAUACGAGGACUGAAGUUGUCUCUCUGUGGUCUUUGUAACAUCCCGUCACGAAGAGGAUCGGUUAUCUUGCCUAAAAGUUAAGUUCCUUGAGUCUUUUCGGCCCGGAAGCUACAGGCGAAUUGCUCUCCAAUUGCUCCGAUCCUUGACAUUGCAGGAUGCAGGAUAAUGCGGCGGGGUCACGCACGCGCCAGAUGGACACUGAACUACCCUGACUGACUGUCUGUCUGAGUGACUGCCUGCCACGGAGGAGUCUUCGCGAUCCAGCUGGUGGUUCGUCUGGUACCCCAAGCUAUCCAGAUACACUUUAAAGAACCAUUUUAAAGAACUAAUUAUCCUCUACUGAUACAUCCGUUUUAAUAGGAAUUAAUAGUUAUCUUCUCACAGGGAGAAAAGUUUUUUUCAAGUGGUGACCCAAAAACAUGCGAAAAUGUAAGGUACGCAUGAAAUACGUACUAACCAAGAUGAGACCUUGCGUGUGCGCUGGGAUAGGGUUACCCUAUCGAUAUCGAAUUAUACGCUGUCUUGAAUUGAUACCUUCAAAAAAAGUGAUGCGGUCUAGUCUAGUGCCAGAGGAUACCAGUAGAGAAAUAAAGAGAGGCAGAAUAGCUGAUAAAGGCCGUGUCACGCAGAAGGAUAGACGAAGAAGAUCAAGAAGAGUAAAAAGGGAGAAUGAUCAGGUAACAUCCGAGUAAUUCGUACCCUGAGCAAAAGGAGGAGACUGACCACGCGAGCUGUAGUAGAUUUUGCCUUGCAUCUGGAAGAAGAAGCCUUUUGUGCGGUUUGCAUUUGCAAAGGGAUGAUUGGCAUAAGACAGCUACUGUCUUUUUGGAGGUUAGGUACGAAGACUUUGGUAUUUACAGGGUCAAAGAUUUGUCAGUGCCAGAACGACUGAAUGAUACACCACUUGAAUGAUACUCAAUAUGGUUGUUUGGUAAAUAUAAAGCAUCUAAGGGCGUGACGGAAGCUGAGUAUUAAGAAACGUUAAACUCUUGCAAAAGGCAUGGAGAAGAUGAAUGUGAAGAAAAAGAAGAAAUAUACAAAAAGGAUAUAUACAUAUAUAUACACAUCAAGGAUUUCCUAGAAGGUCGUUAGGUGUUCACAAGGUCUUAGUUCAGCCAUUCCAAGAGGAUCCGGUCGAUGCGUCAACGUUACGUUUCAAUCUCGACGCAAAGAGUGCAGCAGGCAUAUCUACAGUGCCCAUUGACGUACCGACUUCCCAUCACGCCAACCAUCCAUGCGAGACUCUCACAAGCGUACUAGCCUCUACCCUGGAAAGACAAUGAAAAAAGUAUAAUAAAAGAUCUAAGAGAUAUUUAGAGUAUCAUUGACAAAAGUCUCUGCCGGGAUUUAUUUGAAAAUUGAAUAACAUCAAUAGCCGUCAUGAAGUUUCUCUCUUUGAGCGGAACGGAAGCGGAACGGAUGAGAGUAACAGAGAGCAUUCUCUCUUUCCGCUUUUGGAGCACGGUCUCGAAGUGCCAGAGAUCCGACGUACUGACAAUAGGUUAAAGGAAUAUCCUCUUAUGCGCGCGAAUUACACGGCUGGUCACACCCGAAUGGCUAUCAAUCACUUUCCUGAGCCGUUGCUGCCGCUUGGUAACCGAUAUUCCUACAUUCCAAUAUAUCUGUAUUGGAAUACAGCGAAAUGGCUACUAUGCGAAUGACGUACCAUUGCCGAGGUCGAGAGUCCAGAGACCCGUGGCCAGCAGCUCUGGAGAGCGCUAAACAUAUACCUAUAGCACUCAAUGUACUUAAGUGCCUUCAAAGAACGCCGCCAUACUUGAAAACUAUUACAGCUUAACGAUUACGUUAUCUUUAACCAUCAUUGAUCGUUAUCCAAUCCUCCUGCAAUGGAUACCCCUCCUACAGUCUUGAAUGGGCAUCCUUUAUUGAGGUAUUGCCAUUAUUUUUCUCUUUUUUUACAUCACUUUGGCACUUUCAAAGACAUUAUAUUCAUAGUAAUG